rnacentral:siRNA from 1 species
CUAACGGCGUGCCUCGGC